rnacentral:rRNA from 1 species
UACGUAGGGACCAAGCGUUGUUCGGAUUUACUGGGCGUAAAGGGCGCGUAGGCGGCGCGGUAAGUCACUUGUGAAAUCUCUGAGCUUAACUCAGAACGGCCAAGUGAUACUGCAGUGCUAGAGUGUGGAAGGGGCAAUCGGAAUUCUUGGUGUAGCGGUGAAAUGCGUAGAUAUCAAGAGGAACACCUGAGGUGAAGACGGCUUGCUGGGCCAACACUGACGCUGAGGCGCGAAAGCCAGGGGAGCAAACGGG